UUCUGGGCUGCACGCGUGCUACAAUGUGGGUCGCAGCGUGUUCUCGCCAAUAGGCGCCCCCAUUUCCGAGAGGAACGGGAAAUCACUAAAAUGCCCAUCUAGUCGGGAUUGGGGACUGCAACGGUCCCCAUGAACCUGGAAUUUCUAGUAAGCACUAGUCAUUAGCUAGUGCUGAUUACGUCCCUGCCCUUUGUACACACCGCCCGUCGCUACUACCGAUGGAUUAUUUAGUGAGGUUUCUGGAGGCUUACCUUCCGCGGUUCCUUCGUGAGCUGCAGCUGGCAUGGCUGAAGUUGACCGAACUUGAUGAUUUAGAGGAAGUAAAAGUCGUAACAAGGUUUCCGUAGGUGAACCUGCGGAAGGAUCAUUACUGAUGAUCGUCCGCGAGUGGACCAACCAUGGGCUGCCUUCGGUGUAGCUCGGUCGCUCGCUUGCUAUGUGUCAGAAUUUGUUGAAAGCCAACUCGUUCGUUGUACACUUUGAUGGGUGACCAUCACUGUGUCUCCGUGCCGUGCUAGAUCCCCCCUAGCCGUAAGGCACUUUGAACGCCCCUUCGACGACGAGUUACAAGAGUGUGGUAUGUGUCAGAAUCUGGUGAAGCUUUCUGCAUGUGAUGUGCCUUGUGUGGAUCCGUGGCCAUUGCAUUGUGUCUGGUGUGUAGGUACCCAGACACUUAAGCAAACUCGAUCGUUGUACACUGUGAUGGGCGAGCAUCACUGUGUCUCCGUGCCGUGUAAGAGCUCCCCUGGCCAUCAGGCACUUGAAAGGUCCUUCGACGACGAGUUACAAUAGUGGUGUGUUAGAUACGUCAGGUGAUGGUAUCUACUGUUGUGCAAUACGUAUCCGGCCACGGCACGGAACGAACGGGAACUGUGGUGCAGACAUACAAAGAGUUAAGCCUAUUAGUCAUUAACUCUAAGGACGGGGCCAUGGGGCGGUACGCAAAGGAUACGGAUGAGCGAGUAUGCAGGCCCAAUACUCAAUAGCUCGAUCCGAUCCAAGCACAUGAGUUGACUGCGGCGCCAGGUUAACCAAUGUGCUAGAUUCUAUUUGGCCAGUAGAAUCUUGUGUCUUACGCGAUUUGAUACCAAGACACCAGAACGAAAGUUAGUUGAAGAGUGAUUAAACUCUUAUGAAGAAUGGUUGUGCAAUCACAACUUAUGACUUUAACCUAUAAAGUGGAUAUGGACUAUCAAUUAUAACA